rnacentral:lncRNA from 1 species
UUUUUUCAUGUAAGAUCUAAUUUAUACAUAAAUAAAAAUUAAUAGUAAUAUUGUUCAUAUUUAAUAAGAUAAUAAGAAUUUCAUAUUAUAUGUAAAGUUGUCUGAGUUUUAAACCAUGGAAGAUUUUAUUUCCAUUAAAAUGUUUAGGUAUAAUUUAUAUUUAUAUUUUUUUAAUUCUAAAAGAUUCAAGUUUUUGUUAAUGGUUCGUGACAAUGUUGAAUAGGCCCUAACCAAAACACGACUAAUUUGAGGUGAGCAGGCCUCGCAAUUAGGAGAUGCAUGUAAAAUACUUAGAAGAUAUACAUGAUUUACAGUGUUUAGUCUUACAAAUGUGUAGUCUCUUGGGAGAUGCAUCAUACAUGGGUUCCAUUUUGUCAAUUGGUGACACAGAUAAUCAUAAGAUUUUUCUCUAUAACGAAAAUGCAAAUAGUUAACAAUAAUAAUUAUUCCUGAUCGGGCUAUAUAUAGUAAUUCGCUAUGAUUCAUAUAUAGUAAAAUGGGCGAUCGAAUAUAUAUUGCAACCCAAUUAGAUGGAAACGUGAAACACUUUGGAUAAUCUACAAAACUUUUUUUUUGACCAGACAAAAACUAUUAUUAAACUUCCUUUUCCUUAUUAUUUUAGACAUCAAUGGUUUUUUUUUUUUGUCAAUUUACUUGCUUGUAACACAAGAUAUAUCAAAUCAAGAAAUCAGUUAUCAUUUGGAUUUAAGAAUUUAAUUGAUACAACAGGCUCAAAUCUUUUAAUUUAGACAUUGAUUUUUUCAUGGAAGUAUACAAUAACAAACUAAUCUGUGUGUUAGUUCUUGCGGGAGCAUAUAUCUGAGCAUGAAUCCACACAUACUGAAACUUUCUCUGCGUGAUCUGCCCAUAUCAAACAAAACAAAAAACAAAAAAAUCCAUAAGAAAGUUAAUUAGACUCCAAACACUUUAGUACAUCACUACUUAAUAUCCAUCCACAUGAUUAAACUGUAUUAUACAUGAAAACUUACCCUUAUCAUGGAUCGAGGAGGAUGAAGCACAACGAUCAGUGGCACAUCCGAGAUUACAAAAAUAAUCAGUGUGGUCAAUGUCAUUCAGAUUUGCCUCAGAAGGUGUAGUAGGCUGUUUACAGUCCUUGAUACACGAGAAAGGACAGAACAGUUUCUUGAAUGCGUUAGAAGAUGCAGCACACAUCACAAAACAGCCUUUAUAACAAUCUAUAAAAGCCAUACCCUCUGCCUCAAACAAAAUGUUCCCCAUCACCAACAUCAUCACCACCAACAAAGCCAUUCUUUUGCUGUCCAUGUUUUCUUGAGGAUAUAAAAGCUGAUGGAAAUUGUUUGUUAAUUAUGAAUGUUGGUUUGUGUAACCAGGUUACUAGGUCUUCUUUAUAAAGGGAUGUUAUAAUUAACAUUUUCAGAUUCCGUAACAAAUCAGUUUUGAUUUUGCUAGCUGCUGUGGGAUAGUAAGUGAUUAAAUAUAAUUUCAUUCAUUCAUUUUGAAUCUAUAAGGAUUUUUUUCUUCUUACAUCCAGAAUGUAGAUAUUCCUAAUAUUACCUGUGGUUGAAAGAUAUGAUAAAGAGAAAACGUAUAAAAUUUUAAGAUACAUAUACGUUCAUCUCCUAAAAUUAUACUUUUUUUUGUAACACAAACUUUCAUUCAAACUUUAAAGAUCCCUAAGCUGGAGUUCAUUACAAUAGUUUCAAGUAACAAAGCUUGCUUUGCUAAGGCAUCAGCAUCUUUGUUUUUCCCCGGAGUGAUCCACCUGAAACGGAUCAACUCAAACUCUGCAAUUAAACUAACAAUAUCACCUAAGAUGAUACUUAUACUCCAUUUUUUUCUAAAAUAUGUUUGCAAAUUUUAUUGUAUUGAAAUCAAGGUAGACUUUUGGUCCAAAUAUUGAUUACUCUUAACUAUGUGGUUCUUUCGUGUGUCUGGAGAGAACCACAACAAAGUCGAAGUAACAUCAGUACUUAAUAUGGCUUCAAUUAAGCAAACAAAAAACAAGUACAUUUGGAUUUCAAUUCUCAUCACAAAGAGUGCCACAAACCCCCUAAUGAACCAACGUAAACAUUCAGUCUAAAAGAAAUAUUGUAUCUCUCUCUCUCUAUUGCUCUGAGGUAUCGGCUCCACGAUAGGGCAUGUACCUAUGAUCCUUCGUAGCAUUCUUCUUCCUCCGUUUGUCAAGAAACAAUGAAAGCUUCCCAGAUUCCUGUAUUGUACAUCAUAAAGUGAUUCAGUGAUUAUAAAGUUUUAAGACUUUAGGGUUAAAACUGAUUUACAUACCUUGAGACUGUUGUACUCUUCGUUGAGUUCUUGCUUUCGGAUCUCAGCUGCACAAGAUGAAAGAAUACAACUCAGAAAAAAAAAAACUUGAAAGUACGCAAACACAGGGACUUUUGAGUAGAAAACUAAGAACAUACAUUGUUUGAGAUAGUAAGGCUUUUUGCCCAUUUUUGCAGCUUCUCUUUCUUUCUUUUUGUGCUCUGUUAGUAUUGAUUUUCCUUUAGCUUCUUUUUCAGUUCCUGUUUACAAAAGAAGAGGCCUCGUGAGAAACUGAAAACUGGCAAGAACUUUUUAUAUCAGCAUUUAGCAUCAUCAAUCAAUCAAUACCUCUCUUUCUACAAGAAGUUUCUCCUCGAAAAAGAAACUGUAUCGCUUCCUGAACCUAUAAAAGAUACUCAAAACUAAGUUUCACCUCAAACAAGAGCAAUGAGCAAACUAUAACUACUUUCAUGUUUCACAAGAGAUCGAGUUUCCCAUUUAUUAAGGUUGAUUAUAAAUUCUUCGUUGGUCAGUGGUCACUACAGAGAUAUCUAUGAGACAACAAGACAAUAUGCGUUAUCAUGAUAGAGUACAUAUAAAGAAACCAUAAGCAAAUCGGUUUAUGCUCUACAUUACAUGAAAUCUACAUAACUUGAAGAAUUUUGAGCGAUAAAAUAAAGGGUAAAAUCAAUAGGCACAUGUUAUGCGUAUAAUUGUAAGUUAUCCGCGAAUUCACAGAUACAAAUCAUUUUAAAUUUUAAUAUAAUAUAAUAUAAUAUUUUAUGUUUUUCGCAAGCUAUAACAUAUUUUUAGUUUUUCAAAAUUAAAUGUGAAUUAUUUGGUAGAUAUUUUUUAAACAAACAGAUUUUAUAUAUUUAUUUAUUUUGAUUAUUUGCUUACUUUUUAAAAGUAUAAAUAUGAUAUUUUUAAUAUUUAUUUAUAUUUUUAAUCAACAACGAUAUAUAGGUGAUUAAUAUUUUCGUCAAUUAAGAAUGAGAAUUUCAUUUUUUAACAUUCUCGCCGUAUAUAGGUUAUUAAAAUUGGUUUGUACGUCAUGUUAAGUAUAAUUUUAAUUAAAAUCCAAAAAAAACAUGAAUUUACAUGACGAAUAAAUUCAUUAUUGCAACUAAGGUAUGAAAAAACAAAAAAAAAAUAUUAAGAAGAAACAUAACUAUAUAUAUGUGGAUUUCCAUAUAUUUAAUAAAAUUUCUAGUAAUAUUUGUUCAUGUAAGAUCUAAUUUAUACAUAAAUAAAAAUUAAUAGUAAUAGUGUUCAUAUUUAAUAAGAUAAUAAGAAUUUUCAUAUUAUAUGUAAAGUUGUCUGACUUUUAAACCAUGGAAGAUUUUAUUUCCAUUAAAAAGUUUAGAUAUAUUUUAUAUGUAUAUUUUUUUAACUCUAAAAGAUUCAAGUUUGUGAUAAUGGUUCGUAACAAUGUUGAGUAGGCCCUAACCUAAACACAACUAAUUUGAGAUGAGCAGGUAUCGCAAUUAGGAGAUGCAUGUAACAUACUUUGAAGAUAUACAUGAUUUACAGUGUUUAGUCUUACGAAAUGUGUAGUCUCUUGGGAGAUGCAUGGGUUCCAUUUUUUCAAUUGGUGACACAGAUAAUCAUAAGAUUUUUCUCUAUAACGAAAAUGCAAAUAGUUGACGAUGAUAAUUAUUCCCGGUCGGGCUAUAUAGUAAUUCGUUAUGAUUCAUAUAUAGUAAAAUGGGCGAUCGAAUAUAUAUACAUAUAUUGCAACACAAUUUGAUGGAAACGUGAAACACAUUGGAUAAUCUACAAAACUUUUUUUUGACUAAACAAAAACUAUUAUUAAACUUCCUUUUCCUUAUUAUUUUAGACAUCAAUGUUUUUUUUUGUCAAUUUACUUGCUUGUAACACAAGAUAUAUCAAAUCAAAAAAUCAGUUAUCACUUGGAUUUAAGAAUUUAAUCGACACAACAGGCUCGAAUCUUUUAAUUUAGACAUUGAUUUUUCAUGGAAGUAUACAAUAACAAACUAAUUUGUGUUUUAGUUAUUGAGGGAGCAUAUAUCUGAGCAUGAAUCCACACAUACUGAAACUUUCUCUGCAUGAUCUGCCCAUAUCAAAAAAACAAUAAAACCCAUAAGAAAGUUAAUUAGACUCCAAACAUUUUAGGACAUCACUACUUAAUAUCCCUAGUUCCACAUGAUUAAACUGUAUUAUACAUGAAAACAUACCCUUAUCAUGGAUCGAGGAGGAUGAAGCACAACGAUCAGUGGCACAUCCGAGUUUACAAAAAUAAUCAGUCUGGUCAAUUUCAUUUAGAGUUGCCUCAGAAGAAGGUGUAGGCUGUUUACAGGCCUUGAUACACGAGAAAGGACAGAACAGUUUCUUGAAUCCGCUAGAAGAUGCAGCACACAUCACAAAACAGCCUUUAUAACAAUCUGUAAAAGCCAUACCCUCUGCCUCAAACAAAAUGUUCCCCAUCACCAACAUCAUCACCACCAACAUAGCCAUUCUUUUGCUGUCCAUGUUUUCUUGAGGAUAUAAAAGCUGAUGGAAAUUGUUUGUUAAUUAUGAAUGUUGGUUUGUGUAACCAGGUUACUAGGUCUUCUUUAUAUAGGGAUGUUAUAAUUAACAUUCAGAUUCCGUAACAAAUUAGUUUUGAUUUUGCUAGCUGUGAUGGGAUAGUAGGUUACUAAAUAUAAUUUCAUUCAUUUAGGAAUCUUUUUCAUUCAUUCAUUUAGAUCUAUAAGGAUUUUUUUUUCUUCUUACAUCCAGAAUCUAGAUAUUCCUAAUAUUAGUAUGUUUGUGGUUGAAAGAUAUGAUAAAGAGAACGUAUAAAUUUUUUAGAUAUCUAUCUAUCUAUACGCUCAUCCUAAAAUGAUACAUAUUAGGCCUGGGCAUUUUACCCGGACCCGAAGAUCCGAACCGGAACCGACCCGAAAAUACAGGUUCGGGUCCGGGUCCGGGUUCAUGCUAAGUACCUAUUGGGUCUUCUUUUUUCGGACUCGCGGGUCUAGGUUCGGGUCCGGGUCCUACCCGAGACCCGUUCGGGUACCCGAAGUACCCGCAAAUAAUUGUAAAUACUAUGUAUAUUUGGGUGAUUGGGUAUAUUUUUGGUAUUUCGGAUUUUUUUAAAAGUUUCGGGUUUGGAUUUUCGGGUAUAAUUGUAAGUUUUUGGUGAAAUUUUAGAUUUUUAGAAAAUAUAAUUUGGAUAUACAGGUAAAAUUCGGGUAUGUUUUGGGUUUUCGGAUCUGAUUUUGAAUAAAUUUUUGGGUAUUUUUGCGAUUCGUCGGGUAUUUUUAGAGUUUUUGGGUCCAGUUUGGGUAUUUCAGGUCUAUUUCGGAUCCUAAAUACCCGAACCGACCCGGAUCCAAAAUAUACCCAAAUAUUUUACAAUACCCGAACCGACAAGUCUAUAAUUUCAAUACCCGUAAAAUACCCACAAUAUUUGAGCAUCAGUACGUGAUAUGGCUUUCAAUUAAGCAAACAAAAAAAAAGGUAAAGCUACAUUUGGAUUUCAAUUCUCAUCACAAAGCCCUUCAUGAACCAAACGUAAAAAAUAAGUCUGAAAGCAAUACUGUCCCUCUCUCUAUUGCUCUCAGGCAUCGGCUCGACGAUAUGGCAUGUACCUAUGAUCCUUUGUUGCGUUCUUCUUCCUCCGUUUGUCAAGAAACGAUGAAAGCUUCCCAGAUUCCUGGAUUGUCCAUCAAAAAAGUGAUUCAGUGUGAUUAUAAAGUUUCAAAACUUUGGAGUCAAAACUGAUUUUACAUACCUUGAGACUGUUGUACUUCUCGAUGAGUUCUUGCUUUCGGAUCUCAGCUGCAUAAGAUAAAAGAAAACGAAUCAGUAAACUGUUGGCAAAUAAAAACUCGAAACUGCUAAAUGUUUUCAACGCAAACUCGGGAGUUUUGGAUUAGAAAACUAAGAACAUACAUUGUUUGAGAUAGUAAGGCUUUUUGCCCAUCUUUGCAGCUUCUCUUUCUUUCUUUUUGUGCUCUGUUAGUAUUGACUUUCCUUUGCUGUUUGUUGACGGAUCGUACUUCAACAGUUUCUCCUGAGGUAUUGCAAAGCCAAAGAAACAUAUGAUUAGAGAUUAACCAGCAGCUGGACAAGAGGAGGGGCAAAAAAACAAAGGACCACUUACAACAUAAGUUAACUGGUCCUUGAGUUCUUCGACGUCUUCUGGAUUCUUUGUUUUCUUUAGCUUCUUUUUCAGUUCCUGUUCACAUAACAAAUGGCUUCGUGAGAAAUUGGAAAAACUUUUAAUAUCAGCAUUUAGCGUCAUCAAUCAAAAUACCUCUCUUUCUACAGGAAGUUUCUCCUCGAAAAAGAAACUGUAUCUCUUCCUGAACCUACAAAAGAUAACACAAAACUUAGCUUCACCUCAAACAAGAACAAUGAUCAACCUAUAAAACUACUUUCAUGUUUCACAAGAGAAAGAUAGAUACCCCUCAUGAUCAACGCUUCCAGCCAAUGAGUCAAAACGAGGAUCACGAACCACCUGGACGCAAGUAAAGAAACUCUUGAGGAGAAGAUUCAAAGAAACAGUUUCUCAAUACUCAGAACUUAUUAUUGGUACCUUCUUUGGAGCUUGAAUAACCUCUCUAAAACGACUCACUGGUCUUUUAGAACUUAACUCCAUUGGUCUAUUUACAUCACGAAUGAAACAAACAAAGAUUAAAAGACAAUCAAACCAACGGAAAAGAAAACAAGAGAAACUACCAAACAAUGAGUAAGUUACCUGUUCUUGUUUGCACGAGCAGGUUUCUUGGCCUCGGAGAACUUUAUGUUCUUGUCUGCAGCACGACCAGUGUUCUUCUUAACUUGAGAGAACGAUGGCUUCACGGGAACAGCAGGACGAGGACGAGACCCAUCAGCACGCAGUCUAUGUAUCUCCUCCAAUGUCAACUCUUUCCCUUUCUCUUCUUCUUCUUCUUCUUCCUAAUUCCCAAUUAAAAAGAAAAAAAAAACUGUUCAAAAAUUAUAAAAUCAACAAACAAAGCAAUACUGUAAGAGCUUCCGACAGACCUCAUCUGAAGAAGACAUAGACGAUAACGACUGCUCAUCUUCAUCAUCUUCACUGUCGUCAAAAACAAUCUUACUCGAGCUCGGUUCAAACUUACUACCUCCCUUCAUUGUCAAUCACGUGAAAACCUAAACACACGGAAAUAAAAUUAACACCAGCUUCUUAAUCAUGGAAUGUAAUCGAAAACCAAAACUAAUAAACUUACUUUGAACACAGAGAAUCUGUAAGACGAUAAACGAGAACGGCGCAACAAGUCGAGGAGCGAGGGAGUAAUGAAAAUAACAAAACAACUGUGAAUAGAAUUAAAAUCAAAUUAGGGUUUUUUAUUUGAUUCAAUUUCGGAUUCGGUUCUAUCACAAAUCGAACCGGAUUUAAACGGUUAGAACAGUGUACCAUUCGGUUUACUACAGGUAACUUGAUAGUUUAGAGAUAUUAGAAGAUAACGGGCCGGAUCUGGCUAUGGGUUUUAAGAAAGAAGAAAAAAGCAAAUGAAAAUUUGAUUGGUUGAAUAUUUGUUGGCUUUUAACAUAUUUUUGGUUCUCUACAGUAAACUAUAACACCAUAAUCAACUCCAUAAUCUCCAAAGAAUUUUUCUUUUUUUUUUGGUAUCGGGAGAUUUACAAGAACUACCUAAAUUCAACAGCUCAAAAUUGAAGAUAUUAUCAAAAGUCGACUUGGUCGCGACCCGGUCGGAAUUUUUUCUAACGUGGACUAGAUCGAUUGUUAAUCGGAAGGAUACUCGACACGGUAAGUUGAUAAGCUAGCAUAACUAAGAUAUAAUGAAGGAUAAAAGUGGCUAAGAGAAAAAUAAAUCCAUAGAAAACCUUUAUUUGUAAUCUUAGAGACCGCUUUCGAAAGCAUGGAAAAAAAGUUGAAAUUAACGUUGAAGAAUCCAUCCUAUAAAUUUUAAGAGCAGUUGAAAAUCUUCUCUGAAGAUGUAUGGAUUUCCCCGUCAGCGGAGAGUCUGCCUCGUCCAGACGAUCUCAUAGUAAUACCGUUUGAUAUCUUUUUUUUUUUCUUUUUUUUUUGUAAACAGCUUUCAUAUUAAAAUGCAUAAGUAAUACAAGUAUGAGUUUUCACUCAUAAGUCUGAUAAAGUUUGCAACAAGAAAAGAGUUAAAGCAAAAAGCAAAACCCGAGAGGAGGAUCCACUAAUGCAUCCUAAUAGGAAUGAAAAAGAAAGACAAGAACUAGUGGAAAUGGUUCCCUCGGCCGCGUCGACCUUUUUUACCCCUUCCACUAACAUUUGUCCAUUCCAUAUCUUGAAACUUUUGAGUUGGUUUUAUUGGUCUUCCUCCUCUAGUUAGGUUAUAACUAGAAGUUUCUCCAACCACAUCUACACCAGUCUCUUUCCCAUAAGCGAGAGGACUCUCCGGCUCCAUGUGGAAAUGAUGAUGGUUUUGAGUGAUAGGCGAGUGACGACCAAUGGGUUGCUCAUUUUCAGAAGCGUGAGAGACUUCCAAAAUGUUAACUUGUGAUGGAAUUUCUUUCAUAAUUUGUAACUGAGAGGGCGCAGCGGUUGUGGCUGCUAACAUAGGCAAAGUAGUACCCAACUUUGAGCAAGAGGUGGAGUGUACCUAUGCGAAUGUGUGAUCGGAUCAGAAGUUGCAUCCUCGGGAUGAGCAGUAACAGAAGAGUUUUUUGGAGUCUCAUGUACUCUAUGGGCAGAAGGUGAUUGUGAGUUUGGCUCCAAGUGGUUGACAUGUGUACUAGGGGUGUUUUGCAACAACAGAACUAUAUCCACCGUUGGGAUCUCUUCAUUGGUAUCAUGAUUUUCUUUUAUAACAGCAGCAGAUCCAAGUGGCUUAGGAGGAAGUAAACACCUCUUCUCUUUAUGGCCAAGUGCUCCGCAUCUUUCACAAGCGCUAGGAAUCCAAGAAUACUCCACAUCUACCAAGUAGAUAUUGUCUUGUUUGUCAUCAAGCGCAAUUAGCUUCGGGAACGGUUUAUCUAAUUCAACCUCAACUAAAAUUUUAGCUUCCUCCAUAUUUGUUGGAUCUAGACGAGGCUUAUGCGUAAGCAUUGGCUCUCCCAAACCUGAUGCUAUGUGGCUGAUACCUAAUCUAGAGAAACAUGAAUCCGGAAUAUUCUUAAGGGUUACCCACACCGGUAAUGUAGAAAUCUCAGGGGUUUUAAAAGAGUUUACAGGACUCCAAGGGGCCACAAAUAGGAGACAAUCAUCCACAUGCCACACGCCACGUUGAAUAACCCAUUUGCGAGUAUUUUCAUGAGGAAUAUGGAACAAAAACGACGACUCUCCUAAUUUCCGGCAAGAUAUCUUACAUUCUCGUCCCCAUAAUCUAUUUAAGACAGCAUGAAUAAGACCUCCAGGCGGGUUGGAACACCUAUGGAAUUGUCCUACAACGUAUUCUUCCUUAUUCUCAGGCCCUAGUUUAAGAACUUUAGAAGGAAUUGUCACCUCAGGAGUUCCAUCAAGUCGAUACGUCGGUUCAGUAGCACGAAAAAGGUUUCUCGAGGAUUGGUUCAUGCGAGCAGCCCAUGGAAAUCGAAGACUACCAUCAGCUUUGAGAGCAGGAGGAGGCAUUUUUUUCUGUUGCAGGAUACGUCAACUGCUCCUUCUUAUGCUUGUGACCAUUGAUAGCUUCACUUAUUGAAGGCCAGAAGGAAGCUAUUUGGAUUUUUACUACCUCUGAGACACCGAGCUUAGGAGUAGCAGGUUCAGGAGGAGUAGGUGGAGGGGUAAAGAGGAGUGGUUUUGACCACGCUCCCAUAGAACGAACGAAGACUGUUUCUUUUGCGGGUUCCUCGUCGAGGUCACCUUUUUGAGAAACUUCAUCGAGACCAGUAGGUACCAGUGGUAGUACUACCUCAUUAACAUCAAUGAGUCCAUCAAUGAGAGGCGCAGAGGCAGGCGGGAGGUCGAUGGUUACGGAAGCAGGAGGAGUGUCCAUGAUUUCAAAAGCAGGAGGAGGGUUUUUUCUUACAAAUGCAGGAGGUGGGUCUGUUGUUGCAGAAGGAUUAGCGAAAGUUGCAGAGGGAGCAUAUACUUCUGAUUCUUUCACCGACGAAAGCGGUAACGUUGGAGAGGCAGGUUUUUGAUUGGCUGACCAUCUUCCAAGAUAUGGCCAGCGAGGAUCCGGAGAGGAAGCAUGUUGCAGGUCGGAUUCGACACCAGCGACUACGUCAGAGGACUUCGGCCCAGUUUCAGAACUCUGCAAUUCAUCUCUGUCAACGUUCGUGAAAGAGGAAGGGGUGGAGCAGGUAGCCGUAGAAGGAGAGAGGUCUGUCUUGUAAGAAACCAGACGGCGCCGGCGACGACUCCAGUAAGGUUAGAUCGACGACGAGAAUCUGAAGCUUGAAAUUUAAGUUUCGCCUUUUUUUUUGCCGAUUUGGGGGCGCGUACGUGACACGCGAUAUUAAAUUAUUUAUUACCGUUUGAUAUCUUAUAAAACAGUAAUCCAGAAACAUGGUUACUUGUAAUGAAUUCGGUAAAAUAUUAGGGAAUAGUGAUACACACGUGAUUUACAAAUGAUUGGCUAUAAUUGCAUACUAAACUUGUUCACCUAAAUAUUGCUUAAGACAAAUUUGAAUAGGGAGAGAAAAAUAAUUAAAAAGAGAGACGAAGGUUACGCGCAUGUGACACUCACGAGACAGCACGAAACCUUAAUUCUUUAUUGGCCGACAUGUUUUCUUGUCUGAACACUUUAUAUAUAGACUAUAGUAUCUUGCUUACAUAUUUAUUUCACAUUUUUGUGUAUAAAUAAUUAUUAUUACUAUUAACAAAUCUAACAUCAUCGUCAUCACACCCGUCACAAUCGUUUAUUACUUGCAUACAAGUUUUGAGUGAGUACAGUAAAUACAUUGCAUUUAAUUUUAUUAUUUUAUGGGCCAAGUCCAGCAUUACAAAAGGCCCAAGGCCCACCAAACGAAACCCUAGAGAAAAAACUAAAAGCGGCGCCUUCGUUCGCUCACGGCGUCCCCCCGCUUCCAGCCAUCACCGGUGAUCAACCCAACAAUCCACCGGAAAAAUCGUCACUCACUGGCUUCAGAACCUCUUCGCCGCAAACGCUUCCAACCGCGAGUUCCCAAUAGUGGAGAGAGUCAAUCGGUAACCCGAGAUCUCAUCCGCCUCCUUUCGUCACCGGAACUGGGAAGAAAGCUUCGCCGGCACAACCAACCCUUCAACAUCAGAUAGCUUCGAUCGUCUUCCGACGAGAACUCUUCCAACUAGACCAAACCGAAACCGCAAAAACCAAAGAUAAAAAACAAACCCUAACAAACCUAGGGGACUAAACGCCGGCGGCGCAAAGCAAAGAACGCCUUCACCCCCCGGAAACUGAAGCCGGCGAAAGCGGAGCUAACGAAGCCCUCGCCUCCCGGAAACUAGACCGGCGGCGAUGGAUCUGUAGAAACCUCCACCUCCCGGGAAACCCUAAUCUGACAAACCAACAUCACCCCACCUCACCCUUCACCCAGUCGCGUCGUUACUCCAGCCACCGCGCCACCGCAUGUGUCUGUUCACUCCCCGAGUUGACAGAGCUCCGACAAAACGAACAGAGAGAGAAGGUGAAGAAGAAGUCGGGGAACGUUUCUAACCAAAAGAAAAUGGGCUCCGGCGACGGCACGGACGCUCACGCGUCGGCCGUACGCCGGAUCCAAAACCAAACUGUCUUUUCACCCUUUUUCUUUUUAAAUACAUUGCGUUCACCCUGCAUUCUUAUUGUACUUAUUUAUAUAUAAAAAUUCGCUGUUCAAAAAUUAAAAAUAUACUAAAUUCACAUAAGAUGUUGUAUAAAUUAGAUGAAAUUUUUCAAGAUGCAAUCGCGAAAGUGGUGUGAAAUUAAGUGAUGAUGGAGAGUAGAAGACUACAACUAGCAAUUUCAGUUUAUAAGAAAAAAUUAACAAGCUAUAAUGUAUAUACUGAUACACAUAUGUAGAGUAUUAAUGGUCUAAUGUGGAAUUUCAAUAGUGAAAAUUCUCUAUGUAGGUUUAUGUCAUAGAACAUAGAUCGAGUCUCCCAUUUAUUUACGGUCACUAUAAAUUCUUCACUAGUCACUACAGAGAUAUAUAUGACAACACGACAAUAUGGAUUAGAGAAAAGAUAAAGAAACCAUAAGCAAAUCGGUUUAUUCUCUACAUUACAUGAAAUCUAAAUAUCUUGAAGUAUUUUGAAUGAUAAAAUAAAGGGUAAAAUCAAUGGACACAUGAAUUAUGCAUAUAUUAAACAUAGUAGUACUAAGAAAUAGUUCCCACGGAAAUCCCACGUGUUACAUAUAGUUUAAUCAUAUGGAAUACAGUCACGUGUUGUAUAUCCACAAAACAAAUGCAGAAAUAAUAUCUUUUUCAAUUAAAAUAUUUGUUGUCCAACGUAGGAGCCGGCUGGACCAACUUCCAGAUUUAAUAAUAAGAAUUUUUUUUUUUUUUUUUUUUUUUUUUUAUAAUUCUGGUAUCUGGGCAGCCACAUUUCCAACUAUCCCCGAAAGUGGUUCAGCACCCCAACGAAAGGGACGUUAAAUCUGUUGUGUCCAAGGCUCGAAUCCGGGUAGCGGGAAGUACAGCUGUACCUCCUUUACCUUAAGUUUUCACUCAGUCUUGUACUCUUGUUAAAAACAUCAAUAAUUAAUAAACAAUUAGUACUAUUAUGGGGGACAAGCCUUGUAUAAUUAAUUCUUCAUUUUACUAAAACGUCCAAUUAGGUAACGAAGAGGGUCCCGGACCAUUAUGGUUAUUUAAUAUAAUGGGGUCAAGCUCACACUAAAACCAUCCUCUAUAUUUUCCUAUAAAAUAGAAAUUUCUGUUAUAAAAGUAGAUUUGCUCCAAUGUAUAACUACUCUAUAAUAGAAUUUCUUUAUUUUAGAAAAAAAUAUAAAAGAACGUUAUUUUUUGUCUCUAUGUUUAGAGAUGAAAAUACAAAUUUUUAUAUUUUUCUCUAUAAAUAAAAAACUUUUAUUAUAAAAGCAUACAUUAGAGCAAAUCCAUUUUUAUAAGAGCAUUUUCAAUGUAUGUCUCUAUAUUUUCCUCUAAAAUAGAGAUCUUUAUAAUAUAUAGGUAGAUUUACUCUAAUGUAUGACUCUAUAAUAAAGUUUCUCUAUUAUAGAGGAAAAUAUAGAAUAAUGUUAUUUUUCGUCUCUAUAUUUAGAAGUGAAAAUAACACAUCGUUAUAUUUUUCUGUAUAAAUAAAGAAACUCUAUUAUACAAGCAUACAUUGGAGCAAAUUCACUUUCAUAAUGGAAAUUUUAUAUUUUAGCGGAAAAUAUAUAGAUUAAAAUAGAGGUGGUUUGAAAAUAGUUUAAUAGAAAUUCUUUAUUUUAAAGGAAAAUAUAGAAAUAAAAAUAGAGGUGGGUAUGGUCUAAAAAGCUAAUAAUAUACACUCAUAAUGAUUACAUGGCAAUAAGCCUUGAUACAAACAACGGUGUGUUACGCGCGUAGAUUUCGCAUUAUGCGAGUCCCAUAAAGCCAUAACCGUAGCCUAUAUAUAUUCUUCUUCACUUCUCUGCUUCAUAACUCCCAACCAAAAAAAAAAACAACACAAGCAUAACUUAGACAAACAAACAAAAAGACUUUUAAUUCGAACAAUCUUUAAACAAACCACUGUUCUCAGAGUUACCCAGUGAGAUCAUUCGAUUUUUUUAACAGUGGUUUCACUUUCUAAAAGUUAAACCGAGAGUUAGUUUUUCUUUUUUACCGACGAACUAGCGUUCUAAUGGAUAACAACGAUGAUAUUAUGCUGGCGGAGAUGAGGCCGAAGAAGCGUGCGGGGAGGAUAGUGUUCAAGGAGACACGUCACCCAGUUUACAGAGGAAUACGGCGUAGGAACGGCGACAAAUGGGUCUGCGAAAUCCGAGAGCCGACGCACCAACGCCGCAUUUGGCUAGGGACUUAUCCCACGGCGGAGAUGGCGGCGCGUGCACACGACGUGGCGGCUUUUGCUCUGCGCGGGAGAUCCGCGUGUUUGAAUUUCGCCGACUCCGCCUGGCGUCUUCCGGUGCCGGAAUCAACCGAUCCAGAUGUCAUAAGGAGAGUGGCUGCGGAAGCGGCAGAGAUGUUCCGGCCGACGGAGUUCGAGAGUGGGAUUACGGUUUUGCCCUCUUAUGGCAAUGAGGUGUAUUUGGGCUCCGGUUCUGGUUCGGGAUGGGAGGAGAGGAAUAUGUAUGGAUAUGUGGAAGAAGAAGAAGUCUCGACGACGAUGAGGAGACUGGCGUCUGAGCCGUUAAUGUCACCGCCACGAUCUUAUAUGGAAGGCAUGACUUCUAAUGCUUACAUGGGAGAAGAGAUGUGUUGUGAAGACACAUCACUGUGGAGUUACAGUUAUUAAGCGGGACGCACAUUUUAUUUACAUUAUAUUUGAAUAUAUACUAUAUAAAAUGUGUGCUAGCAAUAGUAUGCGAGUUGUUAAGAUUUAUCUUCUGAGGUGUAGAUCCUUUGUUUGAGUUACAAGGUUCCUUGAUGGAAUAAUUUUGUAUUGUUUAGUAUAAGAAGAUCUUAUAAAAUGAUUUGAUGAAUCUAUAUACAAACAAAAGCAUACGCCUAAUUCGUAAUUGUUAUUGAAAUGCCUAUAUGCAACUCAAGUACAAACAUAUUCAAGAGAUGGUGGAAAAGGGGAUUACACCACCUAAAAGCUUGGAGAAUCUAUAUUUUAAGCCCAAGAGGCUUCAACCUUGACAAUGAUCCAGUAACCUAUGAUGAAGACCGUGUAUUUAAAAAAAACAGGUGAGGGUGUGUUAGAAAACCAAGUUUCUACUUAUGAACUUCUGCCUACAUGUUUUAUUUUGUUUAUUGUGUGUUCUUAUUUACAUAUACUUAGUAGUUAUAGAUUAGAAAUGAAAACAUCAACAAACCAAUCGUUCAGCGUCUGUAGUCCAACGGUUAGGAUAAUUGCCUUCCAAGCAAUAGACCCGGGUUCGACUCCCGGCAGACGCAUCCUUUUUUGAUCUUCUUCUUCCUCGCGCUUCUCAGGCUGUGAACAAGAAUCUGGUGAAGGCAGUAACCUCUUCGGGCUUGAGUCUGUAAAAAGGGGACAAGAUUAUUGGAUCAGCUCUUUCACAUAAUAGAUUUUUGUGGUUCCACUGCAAACACUGAUAAAAAAUAAUAAUACUAAUGCAAACUCUUUCCAACAAUACUAAUACUGAUGGAAACUCUAUAUAACUAUACAUAGCAGUCCAGGAAGAGUGAAAAAGGAGGAAGUACCUCGAAGUUUCUCAUCUGUUUCAUGAGUAUUGUUGUUCUGUGUUGUCGCUGGACUCGGACUAAAGAAGGUAAAGCUUGGCAUAGAUGGGAGUGUUGACUCAAGUUGUUCCCCACCAAAACCAGAAGUUGGCAGCGCUACGUUGUUGUUAUCCGCAGGUAAGAAAGAGGAGAAUGAUGAUCUACAAUCGUUAUCAAUCGAUUCCUCUAACUGCCCCAUGCUAAAGCUAUAGUCUUGCUCCCGAGAAACAUACUCUAUGGAGAAAGAACAUCCACCACUCUCCAACCCUUCACAUCCAACCCCAUCUUGACCAUAUUGUUCUUGUCCUGGCUCAGAUAACUCAUCCAUCCAAGUGUGAGCUGCACACAAAUCAUCAUUUCAAGCCUUAUAUUCCAACAAGUUGAAAUGAUAGAUCAGGAUGGCAUACCUAAAACACCAUCCGCCGUUAGCCUCUGGGAAGGAUCAACACAUAGCAUUCCACGGAUCAAAUCCUUGGCGUAUGAGGUUAUAUUACCCCACGGCUCUGCAGAAAACCUCAAAUCUGCUGCCCUGACAGCAUCAAAAAUCUUUGACUUAGUCUUUCCCCAAAAGGGAGGCACUCCACUGAGAAGAAUGUACAAAAUAACCCCUGCACUCCAUACAUCAGCAGCUUCGUUAUAUCCUCCUGACAACACUUCCGGUGCUAUAUAAAACGGACUACCAACAGUCCCGUUUAGCUUCUCACCUGUUUCAUUACAAAAAACCACAUCUUAGAACACACAACAACGUCCAUGAAGGUGAGAGAGAUAGUUAUCUAUCUUACCUGGCUUUAUAUAGGUUGCAAGACCAAAAUCAGCUAAUUUAAUAGGAGAGGAAGAAGCCACUGUGGCCAUGAGAAUGUUCUCAGGCUUCAAGUCCCUAUGGACAAUACCAUUAUCAUGACAAAACUUCACCACUUGCAUCAAAUGCUUAAACAGCAACCUGGCACGAACCUCCGAGUACCUUCCAUACUUCUCAAGCUUGUGGAAAAGCUCACCUCCCGCACAAAGCUCCAUCACAAGAUGCACAUAGUCCUCCUCCUCGUAAACCGCUUUUAGAUCCACAACGUUAGGAUGGCCAGCUAACUUAGCCAUGAUGGCAAUCUCGAGUUUGAUGCUUUUCAUGUCCUCCUGCGUAACAAGUCUGUCUUUAGAGAUGGACUUGCAAGCAAGCUUCUCUCCAGUGAACUUAUCAGAACACACUCUGAUCACACCGAACUGACCCAAGCCUAACUGUUCCCCAAGCACGUAACGGUCUUUUAAGCUGGAGACGUUAACCGGGUUUAGAAUGGUUUGGGUGAGGGUUGCAACUUUGUAGCAGUUGCAGAAUUCAAAUAAAGGUGGGCUUGUGUUCUCCUUAUCAGCUAAGUCCAUUCCCAUAUCCAAAAGAUCAAAAACCUAACUUGUGAUUCAGCUAUAGAGCAACCUUCUCUUCAGCUAUAGCAUCCUCUGAUCUGUAAUAGUUUAAAGACCUUAAACCUCAGAUCCAAGCAACUAAAAAUGGAAAGGUUUCAGCUUUGGAUGAAAACAGAACAAAUAAGUCAAAUUUUUUAUUGAGACCCAGAUAAAAUGAUUUCGAGCUCAAAAGUCCUAUUGAAUACGCAAACCCUCGAAUUGAAUCGUGAUAAUGCAUCCCCAUCUCGAAUUUAGCAACAAAGACGAAAACUUGCGGAGAUUCAUGAAAAAAAAAAUUGAAAAUUUAUGAAAAAGUUUUACCCUUUUUACAGCAGAAGAAGAGGAAUCCGUCGAGGAGAAAGCAACAGGUAUAGGUCUCGCAGCGAAUAGAGCAGACCUAGUCGUCUUCUCUAGUCUCUCUCAAUCUAUCUCUCUCUUUAGCCUCUUUCAAAAACAAUGUCGUGUCAACUGGUUACCGGGAGAACCAGCUUCACGUUUUCUUCUUACUUAGCGAGAUGAUUUUUAUUUAUUACAGUUUAGACCACUUGUUUUUGUUUAAUUCUAAUUACACCUCAUUCUUUUUGAUUUUAGAAUUUUAACCAUUCGCGACGCGAGAAACCAUUUAUCCAUCCACUUAUAGCAUCUCCGAUGGAGGUUCUUCUCAUUGGAGUUCUUAAUAUAUGUAUUAUGUAUUAAGAAUCCCAACGGGAAAAAGCCCUGUUGGAAGUGCUCUUACCAGUACCAUCUCUACAAGUCUGAAUCAAAUAUUCUCAGUAGAUCAUUCAAUGUUAUAGUGUAGUCUUCCCUCUAAAUUAUUCGACCUUUUGGAUUUGUCUGGAGGAAAAAAAGGAAACAUAUCCAACGCGAAAAAAGAUGGGACCUAUACCAACUAGCUUUUAUGACGAUAGUUAGCUCAACAACCAAUUAAAGCAUGCCACGUGGUAUUUUACUGACCGUAUGAAUCAAACGGGGACCUAGCUGUCGUCAACAUUUGUUUCCUCUUUGCGACGCUGUCUGAGAAACUCCGUGUUGACUACUAAACUAAUUGAAUUUACUUUAGUUUUAUUUAGCCUCACAAUACUAUAGUUUAAUGAUAAAUCACUAGAGUUAGUUGACUUUGUCUAUGAUUUUGAGAACCAGAGGGAGAAGUCCAUCUGUAUUUCAUGUUUGAUUAGCUGUACAAGCAUAGUCUGAAAGGAUUAUAAUUAUAUUUAAACUAAUCUUUCAGACACAGAGUAUAUAAUGCUGAGGAAUUAAUUAGCACGAGGAGAUUCCGCGUAAUUUGUGACUUGAAUUACGAAUAUUUAAUACAACUAUUUUGCCUUUGUUGGAAACAAAAACGUUUGCAAUAGUUUUAGAAAUAUUGAAGCCCAUUGGUUUCAGGUUGGAACCUCUCCAUCACGUCCCUCACCGUGAUAAAUUAUACAUGAAGAAAACCGUUUCAUAUCUAAUAUGUAUCCACCUGAUAAUUUCGCCGUCAUUGGUUGAUUAAUCUAAGAAUCAAUAAAAUUAACUUUACUGCAUGAUAUAAACCUCCUCCGAGAAUCUUUCGUAUAAGUCCCACCCAACAUAAAACAAUAUUUUUUUUCUUAUAACAAGAGAUGGAAAAAGCAAAUGAAUACUACAAACAUCAAGAAGGCUAGGCUAGCAAAACACAUAGCAGGUCAAUAUUAGGAUGACAAAAUAUUAAGGAGUCUAGCUAUUACUAUAAAGUAUAAAACGUGAGAAAUCUGAGAGAUUAAUUAAUAAGGUCUUCUUCCAUUUUACAAUUUUAGAAAGUAUUUUAUAAACUCUUAAUUUACAGAAAACAAACAAGGGUAUUUUGUCCAUAUAGAUGAUUUAGCGGUCUAAGUCUUUAGUUAUAUAGAACUUAGAAAUUCAUUGUGAUAGAUUAAAGUAACCAUUUUAAAAAACUCUAGCGUUUUUUUUGUAAACUUGCUACUUGCCAAUUGUUAGUUGUUUUUUCUGGUUCAUAAUGUUUUAUUUGCACACACUUGCUUAAUGUGGUUACUGUUAGAAAUUAUCACAUGCACAUGACACAAUUCAACGAAAUGAAAGUACCUUGAUCAAGAAGAAGUAGUGUUGACUUCAUCAUCAUGACUCCGAUUAUGAAGAGUUAUAUCACAAUUGCAUACAUAUUUUAUACAUUCAUGUAGAUGUAUAACUUAAAGCCGGGCCAGUAACAACACAAAGGCCACCGAAACUUGUAAACAUCCCAAAAACAAAACAAAAAAAGAGAGAAAAGAAGAAAUCCCAUUUGUUUUUUCAAGGUCAAAACCAUAAUUUCAGCGAAAAUUGGCGCCACUCUUGUAAGUCAUACCGGCGUUCCAGUUAGCCGGAGCAACGUUCCAAGCGUAGACGGUUUCACCGGUUGUGUAAGAAGUGACCCGGAAAGAAAGAGACUGACCAUAGAGAGAGGAAAAAGCUUGGUAAGAGGCUCCCCAGUUGUGGCUCAUGCUUAUCCAAUUCGUCCGGCUACCUUUCACGGCCAUGCUUUUUAUGUCUCCUGCGCCGCCGACAUUCAUGACGAAGACGAGAAGCCAAUAAGAAUUGCCUUGGAAUUGAAACCUCAUACCUCCACUUCUUUUGCAUGGGACUCUACAUAUAUCAACCGCAUAGCAUACAUUAGUUACACGUUUUGGAGAAUGGUUAUCUUAGUGUCGUAUAUAUAUAGUAAGAUGAUUAUAAACAUUUAUACAAAUAUUUGUGAAAUGAGAUAUAUACCUUCGGUAUGCAACAGGGAUGAUACCGGCCCUCCAGUAAGCGAGUUUCAUGAAAGCCGGUUUAGCCAUAUCGAAAUGGGUUCUAGGAGGAUUGCACCAACCACCAUUGUUGGAGUCUUGGUACCAAUUAGGAGGGCAAAGGUUGGUGGCUGUGACCACCGUCGAUGGGCGUCCAUAGUUACAAUGUUUCGAGUUCACACAGACUAUUUGGAAACAUUGGCCGCAUCCGUAACCGUCUUUGAAUAACGUCGUGCUUAGCGCCGCCGUGUCCAAGCCGUAGCCACUGUUAAACAGGUUUCCGUACCCACAUGCACCACCUGCGUAUAUAUAUAUACGUAGUUGUUAUGUCACGGAUUGCAUGUAUGAGUUGUAUGUAAGUAAUAUUGUUAUUAUCGGGCAGUGACGGACUUAUAGGAAUAAACUUUGAAAAAUAAUUUUUGAGAAGUUCUCUACCUUAAGUUAAGAAGAAGAUAUGGUGAGUAAAAUAUAUAUUUUCGAAAAAAUUGUAUUAUACACAUUAGCACAUAUACAUGAGAAUGGACAAUUUUAUUAACGUACCCAUGGUUUCACUACCGGUUUCGUCGCCGUAGAAAGUAGCAUGAGCGUAUCUCCACGGGCUGGGCCUGUAAUAUCCUGCAACGAAUUCACCGGAGAUGGCGAAGGCGACAAAAACUAUUGCGAAGAAUUUCUUAAAGCUCCAAGAACUUGAGAUUAGACCCAUCUUUCGUUUCUUUUUCGCCUUGAUGGGUUUUCUUGGGGUUUUUUUUAUUUGUUUGUUUGUUGAUGAAGUAAUCGAAUUAGGGACAAACUUAUAUAGAGGGGUUAUUCAACGAUAGUGGUAGUUACUACGUGAGGGCCAUGAUCCUUUUUUCCAUUUUAUAUUGGAGACUUUUGUCCGUGCUGAUUGGGAUUUGUUUCAUUUCAUUGAUUAUUUGCAAUAGAUCACCUUUGAAUAAGAACUAGAGAAAACAAGUCAAAUUAUUGUUUAAGUGAAGUUUUAGAAUAUGGUACAAUUUGUCACUUUGACGUGCGAGCAGGUUCUAAGUGGUUCUUGUACCGACCUUUUCUAAUCCCCUACGUGCGUCUAUGUAUAUUUUAUAGUACGACAUUUACACAAUUGUAAUGAAUUUCUUUUCAUUGAUUAGUUUAUAUAUAUAUAGUCGACAAAAAAGCAUGUAAAUUAGUUUUUGUAUUGUCGUUCUAAUGUUGUCAACUUGUCAAAUUAUAUAUAUGUAACUAUUGGGUUGUGAAUUAUAUAUAUGUAACUAUUGGGUUCUAAGCCGAACGAUCUCUCAGUCUAACCGAACCGGGGAAAUCAGAGGCUGGUCCGCGAAAAGCGCCUUCAAGUUAGCUAAAGCAAGCUGCGCAAUAUUGUCCAAAGACCCUGGCGUGACCAUAGCAGCAUGUGGAGACAAGACAACAUUGUCCAAACCAAACAACUCCUCAGGAACUCCCGGUUCUUUCUCAAACACAUCUAAACCGGCACCACCAAUCACACCUUCCACCAGACACUUAACCAUCUCCAUCUCAUCAAUCAGUCCUCCUCGCCCCACAUUGAUUAUAACUCCGUUCUUCCCAAGAGCCUCCAUCACUUCUCUGUUCACAAUGUGGUGCGUGCGUCUGAUCAUUCAGAGCGCAGGAGAGAACGAUGACAUCGUUGUUUGCUGCUAAAGAGAGAACGUCCGGGUAGUAAAGGUAUGGGAUGCUCUGUUUCUGACUCGUCGAGUUGUAAGAGAUGAUGCAGCCAAAGGGUUCGAGCCUUUUAGCAAUGAGAGAUCCUAUGCUCCCUAGUCCAAGUAUCCCAACUCGCUUCCCGCUUAGCUGCAACGAAAACAGAGUAUCAUCACAACCACAAAAACAGAGCAUCAUCAUAACCACGAAACAGAGUAUCAUCACAACCACAAAAAACAGAGCAUCGGCGCUCCUGAUAAGAAAGGUGUAGUCUUUAUCUAUAAUCAUUGAAAAGAGUUGAGAUUUCUCGAACAAACCUUGAUCCCUAGCUGGAAGUUUCCGAAUUUCGCCCAAUUCCCGGACCAAACGCAACGAUCGGCCGCCGGAAUGCGACGGAGGACGCUAAUCAGCAACCCGACGGCGAAAUCCGCCACGUCUUCCGAGAAGGCUUCGCCGGCGUUGGUGACGGCGAUGCCGCGACGCUUGCACUCGACGAGAUCGACGUGGUUAGUGCCGACGCUGGUGCAGACGAUGAGCUGGAGAGAAGGGAGGUGGGAGAGGAGAUCGGCGUCAAUCUUGAGGAGGGCGAUGUUGACGAAAGCUCUGACGGAGGAGGCUUGACGGGAGAGGAAGACUGGAAGCGGAUCCGAUGAGGUGUGAGUGUUGAGAAUCCGGUAGUUACGACUUAGAAGCUCGUCCAUGAAGUUUAGAUUCGGUGGGCGGUGAACGAGGACGAGCGGAGAUUCCGACAUUGAUACUGUUUGAUAAAGGGGUCUGUCCUCAGAGACUGUAGUCAAUCUUUAAGUGGACCCACCGAACUAUUUAUUUGUUUGGUUAACCUUUUUGCCUUUUAUUAUUAGAGGAAAUGAAAUUAUAAAUAGUGAAAUAGGAAGGUAGAGCAUCAACAAAUUCUACAAAGUGUUCUCAACGGAAUCAAAAUACUAAUAUAUAUUUAUUCAGAUUCUAUUUUUUACUUAUUUCCUUUAAACAAAAAAUCACUUCGUUAAUGGACAUGUGUCUCAUGGUGUUCUCAAAACAUGAUGAAGUGUUCUCAUAUGAACACAUUUCUCAUUUUCUCUCCUAUUUUAAUUUAAUUUUUCUUUUCUUUUUAAGUUGAGAACACUUGUAGAGCUUAUUGAUGUGGGUAGGCCUGGCAUAAAAUCCGGAACCCGAAAUCCGAACCGAACCCGAACCGAAAAACCCGACCCGUUAUCCGACCCGAAACGUAAAACUAUCCGAAUGGGUCUUGUAGGGUGGUACAAAAAAUAUCUGAACCCGAAGUGUUAUUAAUCGAAUCCGAACGGGUAACCCGAAAAAUCCAAAAUUAAUUUUGAAAUAUAUAUAAGUAUUCCAAUUAUUAAAUUCAAUAUUUGUGGUAAUAUUAUAUAUAAUAAUAAAUAUUAAAAUUCUAAUAAAUGCUUUAAGUACACAAUUAGUUAUAAAUAAGUAUUUUAUAAUUUGCUCAUUGAAAUAAAAAGUCUACUCUCUAUAAGGCAAUACAUAUUUUUUACAAAUGAUGUUUGUUUUCAUGCUUGAUUUAACAUUUUAUUGUUAUUUUAUCAAUUUUAUAUGUGAUAGAUUAAUUUUUAUUUAAUUUAGAUGUUUUUCUUUAUGUUUUACUUCAAAAAAUUUGUUUUUUACUUUGGUUAUAUCCGAACCGAACCGAUAUAACCCGAAUCCGUACGAUAUAUGAUUACUUUAUGGGUUUUAUGAUGCAAUACAAUUUUGAACCGAACCCGAAGUGUUAUUAUCCGAACCCGACCCGUACUAAUAAAAUUUUAGUAUGAGACCUAGAAGCGUAAACCCGAAAAUCCGAAAACCCGGAAAACCCGACCCAAAUGCCAACGGGUACCCGAACGCCCAGGCCUAGAUGUGGGUGCUCUCAGUUCAGUUGAUUGACAAACAUGAGAUCUGUGUUUGACUUGCCUCAUUCAUCGGUCUAGGGAACCUUAGUUAUGUAAAGAAAUGUGAUCUGAUUUGACUUGCCUCGGUCUUGAAAGUUUGGAGAUUCUUUUAACUAGGGAAAGUUUGGUCAUUGAUCUUGUUUUUAGGAUAAGUGUAUUGUUUGAAUUUGAUUUCAUCACUCAUCAAAGCAAACCAAUGAUGAUCUGGAGAGACUACAAAUAUGUAUCUGAGUUACUUCUAUGGUUUCAUUCAAGUUGAUCUUAGCUCCUUGAGGAGAGUGUCAUCUUAUGGUAGUUGUUAGAUCACAGCUAUAGCGAAAUCUCCAGGCAACUCUCUGAUGCCAUAUUCCAAGAAGUCGGGUAUGUUGAAAAGAGAAUUGUUGCUUCUGUUCGGUAACUCUUGUUCUUGUAAAUGGUUACAAAGAUACUAAUAAGUUUAGAUUUCUUGUAGGAGCAAGAUGCUGAGCCCAGCUCUCAAAAGACUGGAUGACAAAUGCUAAUUCAAUUGGCAAAAACCUUGGAUGAUAGGAAAAUUUUCAUUUUUAUGGAAAAUAUUGUAGAUUUGGGGUUGUGAUUUAGAAAUUAGGAUAUAAUAUUUUCUGUUGAGAGAUGAGUGUUUUUUUAUAUAUUUUUGAUCAAUAUGUUAUUUUUAAAUAAAAUACUAAAAAAAUAUAUUUUAGGAAAGUUUUCAUUUUUAUAGAAAAUUUUAGUAGAUUUGGGGUUGUGAUUUUGAAAUUAGGAUAACAAGAAUUUUUGUUGAUAGAUGAGUAUUCUUUUAGAUUUUUUGAUCAAAAUGUUGUAUUUUUAAAUAAAAUUUCUCAAAAUUUCUAUUUUAGGAAAGUUUUCAUUUUUAUAAAAAAUAUUGUAGAUUUGGGAUUGUGAUUUAGAAAUUAGGAUAAAAAGAAUUUUUGUUGAUAGAUGAGUAUUCUUUUAGAUUUUUUGAUCAAUAGAUUGUAUUUUUAAAUAAAAUUCUUAAAAAUUCUAUUUUCGUAAAGUUUUCAUUUUUAUAAAAAUAUAUUAUAGAUUUGGGAUUGUGAUUUAGAAAUUAAGAUAACAUAAUUUUUUUGUUGAUAGAUGGGUAUUAUUUUAUAUUUUUUGAUCAAUAGGGUGUAUUUUUAAAUAAAAUUCUCAAAAAUUCAACUUAAGGUAAGUUAUCAUUUUUUUAGAGAAAUAUUGUAGAUUUGGGGUUGUGAUUUAGAAAUUAAGUAUAACAAGAACUUUUAGAUUUUUGAUCAAUAUACUGUAUUUUAAAAAUAUAAUUUUCAAAAAUAUAAUUUUAGGAAAGUUUUCAUUUUUAUAGAAAAUAUUGUAGAUUUGGGGUUGUGAUUUAAAAAUAAGGAUGACAAGAAUUUUUGUUAAUAGAUGAGUAGUAUUUUAGUUUUUUGAUAAAUAUGUUGUAUUUUUUAAAUAAAAUUCUCAAAAAAUCUAUUAUAGGAAAGUUUUCAUUUUUAUUGAAAAAUAUUGUAGAUUUUGAGGUUGUGAUUUAGAAAUAAGGAUAACAAGAACUUUUGUUGAUAGAUGAGUAUUAUUUUAGUUUUUUAUCAAUAUGUUGCAUUUUUUAAAUAAAGUUCUCAAAGAUUCUAUUUUAGGAAAGUUAUUAUUUUUGUAGAAAAAUAUUAUAAAUUUGGGGUUGUGAUUCAGAAAUUAGGAUAAAAAGAAUUUUUGUUGAUAGAUAAAUGUUCUUUUAGAUUUUUUGAUCAAUAUAUUGUAUUUUUCAAAAAAAAAAUUCAAAAAUUAUAUUUUAGGAAAGUUUUCAUUUUUAUAGAAAAUAUUGUAGAUUUGAAGUUGUGAUUUAAAAAUAAGGAUAACAAGAAUUGUUUUUGUUGGAUAACAAAAAUAUUUGUCGAUAGAUGAGUAGUAUUUUAGUAUUUUGAUCAAUACGUUGUAUUUUUUAAAUAAAAUUCUCAAAAAUUUUAUUUUAGGACAGUUUUCAUUUUUAUUGAAAAGUAUUGUAGAUUUGGGGUUGUGAUUUAGAAAUAAGGAUAAUACGAAUUUUUGUUGAUAGAUAAGUAUUAUUUUAGUUUUUUGAUCAAUACAUUGUAUUUUUUAAAUAAAAUUCUCAAAAUUUCUAUUUUAGAAAAAUUAUCAUUUUUAUAGAGAAAUAUUGUAGAUUUGAGGUUGUGAUAUAGAAAUAAGGAUAAUAAGAAUUUUUGUUGAUAAAUGAGUAUUCUUUUAGAUUUUUUGAUCAAUAGGUUGUAUUUAUAAAAUAAGAUUCUCAAAAAUUCUAUUUUAGAAAAGUUAUUUUAGAAAAGUUUUCAUUUUUAUAAAAAAAAUAUUGGAGAUUUGGGGUUGUGAUUUAUAAAUAAGGAUAACAAGAAUUUUUUUUGCUGGAUGAUUAUUCUUUUAGAUUUUUUUGAUCAAAAGCUUGUAUUUUUAAAAUAAAAUUCCCAAAAAUUAUAUUUUAGGAAAGUUUUCAGUUUUAUAGAAAAAUAUUGUAGAUUUGGGGUUGUGAUUUAGAAACUAGGAUAACAAGAAUUUUUGUUGGUAGGUGGGUAUUCUUUUAUAUAUUUUGAUCAAUAGGUUGCAUUUUUUUAAUAACAUUUCCAAAAAAUCAAUUUUAGGAAAUUUUUCAUUUUUUAGAAAAAAAUUGUAGAUUUGGGGUUUUGAUUUAGAAAUAAGGAUAACAUGAAUUUUUGUUGAUAGAUGAGUAUUUUUUAGUUUUUUUUGUUCAAUAGCUUGUAUUUUUAAAAUAAAAUUCUCAAAACUCCUAUUUUUGUAAAGUUUUCACUUUUACAGAAAAAUAUUGUAGAUUUGGGGUUGUGAUUUAGAAAUUAGGAUAAC